rnacentral:rRNA from 1 species
AUUGAACGCUGGCGGCAGGCCUAACACAUGCAAGUCGAACGGAUGAAGGGAACUUGCCCCUGGAGGCAGCGGCGGACGGGUGAGUAAUGCCUAGGAAUCUGCCUCGUAGUGGGGGAUAACGUCCGCAAACAGGCGCUAAUACCGCAUACGUCCUGAGGGGGAAAGUUGGGCAUCUUCUGACCUGACGCUAUCAUAUUAGCUUAGGUCGGAUUAGCUAGUUUGUGGGGUAAAGGCCUACCAAGGCGACGAUCCGUAACUGGUCUGAGAGGAUGAUAAGUCACAUUGGAACUGGGACACCGUCCAGACUCCUACGGCAGGGAGCAGUGGCCAAUAUUGGACAGCGGGCGGGAGCAUGAUCCAACCGUGCCGAGUCUGUUGCGACGGCCUUCGGAUUGUAAUGCCGUUUAAGUUGGGAGGAAGGUCAGUAAGUUAAUAAGUUGCUGUUUUGACGUUACCAACAGAAUAAGCACCGGCUAACUUCGUG